UGGGGAAUAUUGCACAAUGGAGGGAACUCUGAUGCAGCGACGCCGCGUGAACGAAGAAGGCUUUCGAGUCGUAAAGUUCUUUUAUAUGGGAAGAUAAUGACGGUACCAUAAGAAAAAGCCCCGGCUAACUACGUGCCAGCAGCCGCGGUAAUACGUAGGGGGCUAGCGUUGUCCGGAAUCACUGGGCGUAAAGGGUUCGCAGGCGGAAAUGCAAGUCAGGUGUAAAAGGCAGUAGCUUAACUACUGUAAGCAUUUGAAACUGCAUAUCUUGAGAAGAGUAGAGGUAAGUGGAAUUUUUAGUGUAGCAGUGAAAUGCGUAGAUAUUAGAAAGAAUACCGGUGGCGAAGGCGGCUUACUGGGCUCAUUCUGACGCUGAGGAACGAAAGCGUGGGUAGCAACCAGG
rnacentral:rRNA from 1 species